GUGUUGCUGAUCAUUGAUAAGAAAUCUAAGGAAAAAUAUAGCUACAUAUCAACACAACUUGGAAGUCGUUUUGGAUGGAAGAGUUUGGUGUGCUGUAUUGGCUUGAGAAAUUAUAAUUUGUUCAUUUUAUCUUCUUUCUUUUUUCCUGGAGAAAAUCAGUUAGGCGUAGGUGAGAGUUGUUUAUAGGCCUCCUUUCCUAACUCCAAGUAGGAAAUUGGCGUUGUCUCGUGCCUCGUACAUAUAUUGAAAUAUUCGGUACGACAAAGUGGGACGUGGUAGCCUUACCUCCAAGAUUUUAUGAGGGGAAUUUAGGGGUGGUGAUUGUAUGCUUUCUAUUCAGGAAUUUCAAUUGAAAAGAAUAUAAAUAAUGCAAAAAAUUAUCUAAAAUUGUACAAUUAGCCUACUAUUGUAAUCUCUUUAUUCUGACAAUUGGUAGUCCACCUCUCCCCAGCUUUAGAAUUCCAGUGAUAUGCCCAGUUAAUUGAACUAUUUUUUGAUUCUAUCUUGGAGACCUUUGUUGGCAAACCAAUCUUGCUGCAUAGUUUCAUUGCCUUCAUAUGUGUGUGAAUGUUAUGCUUAACACUUUGUCAUUCAUAUUAUCCUAUAUAUUUGCUUAAUUUAGCAGUAUUUUGGAGCUUUGAUUGGUUUUAUACUUGAGAAAUGACCAAAAGAAUUUAUGGUAACUUGACUUUUGUCAUUCAUAUUAUCCUAUAUAUUUGCUUAAUUUAGCAGUAUUUUGGAGCUUUGAUUGGUUUUGUACUUGAGAAAUGAGCAAAAGAAUUUAUGGUAACUUCUCAAAAGAGAAUAGUGCACAUUGAUGUAUUA
rnacentral:lncRNA from 1 species